rnacentral:rRNA from 1 species
GACGAACGCUGGCGGCGUGCUUAACACAUGCAAGUCGAGCGGAAAGGCCCUUCGGGGUACUCGAGCGGCGAACGGGUGAGUAACACGUGAGCAACCUGCCCUAGGCUUUGGGAUAACCCCGGGAAACCGGGGCUAAUACCGAAUAUGACCACUGGCCGCAUGGCUGGUGGUGGAAAGUUUUUCGGCCUGGGAUGGGCUCGCGGCCUAUCAGCUUGUUGGUGGGGUGAUGGCCUACCAAGGCGACGACGGGUAGCCGGCCUGAGAGGGCGACCGGCCACACUGGGACUGAGACACGGCCCAGACUCCUACGGGAGGCAGCAGUGGGGAAUAUUGCACAAUGGGCGGAAGCCUGAUGCAGCGACGCCGCGUGAGGGAUGACGGCCUUCGGGUUGUAAACCUCUUUCAGCAGGGACGAAGCGUAAGUGACGGUACCUGCAGAAGAAGCGCCGGCCAACUACGUGCCAGCCGCCGCCGUAAAAC